AACGAACGCUGGCGGCAUGCCUAACACAUGCAAGUCGAACGAGAUCUUCGGGUCUAGUGGCGCACGGGUGCGUAACGCGUGGGAAUCUGCCCUUUGGUUCGGAAUAACAGUUGGAAACGACUGCUAAUACCGGAUGGUGACGAAAGUCCAAAGAUUUAUCGCCAGAGGAUGAGCCCGCGUAGGGUUAGCUAGUUGGUGUGGUAAAGGCGCACCAAGGCGACGAUCCUUAGCUGGUCUGAGAGGAUGAUCAGCCACACUGGGACUGAGACACGGCCCAGACUCCUACGGGAGGCAGCAGUGGGGAAUAUUGGACAAUGGGCGAAAGCUUGAUCCAGCAAUGCCGCGUGAGUGAUGAAGGCCUUAGGGUUGUAAAGCUCUUUUACCCGGGAUGAUAAUGACAGUACCGGGAGAAUAAGCUCCGGCUAACUCCGUGCCAGCAGCCGCCGUAA
rnacentral:rRNA from 1 species